GAUGAACGCUAGCGGCAGGCUUAACACAUGCAAGUCGAGGGGUAUCACGCUUUCGGGCGUGAGAGACCGGCGCACGGGUGCGUAACGCGUAUGCAAUCUACCUUUUGCAGAGGGAUAGCCCAGAGAAAUUUGGAUUAAUACCUCAUAGUAUAGUACAAUCGCAUGAUUGAACUAUUAAAGUCACAACGGCAAAAGAUGAGCAUGCGUCCCAUUAGUUAGUUGGUAAGGUAACGGCUUACCAAGACUACGAUGGGUAGGGGUCCUGAGAGGGAGAUCCCCCACACUGGUACUGAGACACGGACCAGACUCCUACGGGAGGCUG
rnacentral:rRNA from 1 species